rnacentral:rRNA from 1 species
GUGGGGAAUCUUAGACAAUGGGCGCAAGCCUGAUCUAGCCAUGCCGCGUGGACGAUGAAGGCCUUAGGGUUGUAAAGUCCUUUCGCUGGGGAAGAUAAUGACGGUACCCAGUAAAGAAGCCCCGGCUAACUCCGUGCCAGCAGCCGCGGUAAUACGGAGGGGGCUAGCGUUGUUCGGAAUUACUGGGCGUAAAGCGCGCGUAGGCGGAUCGGAAAGUUGGGGGUGAAAUCCCGGGGCUCAACCUCGGAACUGCCUCCAAAACUAUCAGUCUUGAGUUCGAGAGAGGUGAGUGGAAUUCCGAGUGUAGAGGUGAAAUUCGUAGAUAUUCGGAGGAACACCAGUGGCGAAGGCGGCUCACUGGCUCGAUACUGACGCUGAGGUGCGAAAGCGUGGGGAGCAAACAGGAUUAGAUACCCGAGUAGUCC